UACGAAGGGGGCUAGCGUUGCUCGGAAUCACUGGGCGUAAAGCGCACGUAGGCGGCUUCUUAAGUCAGGGGUGAAAUCCUGGAGCUCAACUCCAGAACUGCCUUUGAUACUGAGGAUCUUGAGUCCGGGAGAGGUGAGUGGAACUGCGAGUGUAGAGGUGAAAUUCGUAGAUAUUCGCAAGAACACCAGUGGCGAAGGCGGCUCACUGGCCCGGUACUGACGCUGAGGCACGAAAGCGUGGGGAGCAAACAGG
rnacentral:rRNA from 1 species